UACGUAGGGGGCAAGCGUUGUCCGGAAUCAUUGGGCGUAAAGCGCGUGUAGGCGGCUCGAUAAGUCUGCUGUGAAAGUCCAGGGCUCAACCCUGGAAUGCCGGUGGAAACUGUCGAGCUAGAGUCCGGAAGAGGCGAGUGGAAUUCCCGGUGUAGCGGUGAAAUUCGUAGAUAUCGGGAGGAACACCGGUGGCGAAGGCGGCUAUCUGGACAGAGUCUGACGCUGAGGCGCGAAAGCUAGGGGAGCAAACAGG
rnacentral:rRNA from 1 species